rnacentral:rRNA from 1 species
UACGGGGGGAGCAAGCGUUGUUCGGAUUUACUGGGCGUAAAGGGCGCGUAGGCGGCCUUCUAAGUCAGACGUGAAAUCCCUCGGCUCAACUGGGGAACUGCGUCUGAGACUGGAAGGCUUGAAUCCGGGAGAGGGAUGUGGAAUUCCAGGUGUAGCGGUGAAAUGCGUAGAUAUCUGGGGGAACACCGGUGGCGAAGGCGGCAUCCUGGACCGGUAUUGACGCUGAGGCGCGAAAGCCAGGGGAGCAAACGGG